GUACAGUCUCUCCUGCCAUGUCUGCCACAGAGGAGCACGACUGGAUGCCAGGUGGCCUGGACAGGGCUGGUGGCAGGGCAGGCUGUGACCCCAGUCCCCUUGGGGUCCUGGCACCUGCUUGGGAGGGGACGGAUGUGGUUGAGGAGGCCGCGGCCCUUCUGCCCUCCCUGAGGGUGUCAGGAGGCCUUCGCAGGGGGCACGGUGGGCCACAGGCCACAAUGGAAGAGUGGGCUAUAGAGCCGUUAGAGGAGGAGGAGUCUCAUUUCGAGCUGGAGGCCCUGGAGGAGGAGGAGCACCUGGAGGAGGAGGAGCACCUGUUGGAAGAGAUCGAGGAGGAGGAGACAGUAGAGAAUGAUGAGAGUGAGCAGGAAGGCGCAGCAGUGGUUGCAGGCCACGGGGACCCCUUGGAGCAGUUUGGGCCUGUGUUCUGGGGUCUGGUCCACUCCCUUCUACACAGUUUCUCCUAUGAUGACCAUGUCCUGGUCUGGCCCCCUGGCCCCUGCCCGAUGGUCACGCAGAGCUCCCAGCCUCCCUCCGGCCCUAGAGAGGGUCCCGCGCCUUGGCAGGAGCAGGAAGACCUGGCAGAGGGAGGCGAGGCCUCGCAGUGGCCAGAAAUAAUCAGCAGCACAGGGUGUGAAAUCCACUGGAAAGACGGUAAAGACCUCACCCUGAAAACCCUGAAGCUGCAGAAAUUUCCAGUCCCAAAGUCUGUAUUAUACUUCACAAAAGAAGCGAGUGAUUAUCAGUAUGAAGAGUCUGAUGAGGAGGUCCAAGAAGCUGAAGGUGAGGAGGAGGACAGCGAUAAAAAACCAGAAGAAGGACCUGGAAAGGACCUGGACCCAGCAGAGGACAGCCCGGGAG
ensembl:lncRNA